rnacentral:lncRNA from 1 species
UGCCAGACCUUAAACUUUACUAUGAAUCAGCAGCUUUUUGCUGGUUGAAAGAAUGGCUACUUCUUGAAAACACUGACAUUUUGGACUUAGAAGGUUUUAACAAUGUAUUUGGAUGGCAUGCAUAUCUAUGGUACGAUAAGGUCAAAGCACAUAAAGCAUUUAAAAACCAUAUUGUCAGGAAAGCGCUGUUUAAUGUUUGGAUAAGAUAUAAGGAUUUGUUAGAAAACAAAACCCCAAGGUGGCUGUCACCAAUGGAAGCGAAAGCCUUGAAAAAGCUCAAUAUGGAGGUCAAUUGGCCGAAAUAUUGGGAAAUUUUGGAACAAGAUGGAGAUAGACUGAAAUUGCAGAGCUUUGAAAAACUGAAAAACAAAGUGCGAGACUGGCUUCAUUAUUUUCAGAUAAUGGAGGCAUUUAAAUUGGACAAGAAAAUUGGCUUCCAGGUGGAAAGAUCAAAAUUAGAAACUGAACUGUUAGAACCCAAAACCAAGAAUUUGUCAAGAAUGUAUAACUUGCUGCUGAAAUGGAACACUCAGGAUGAAACGGUAAAAUCGGCUAUGAUUAAAUGGGCACAAGACGUUGGACAUAACAUUAUGUUUGUUGACUGGGAACAGUUGUGGACCACAGGUAUGAAAUUUACGGCAUGUAAUGCCUUAAGAGAGAAUAUUAUGAAAAUGAUAUACAGGUGGUACAUAACCCCAGUCAAGCUUGCAAAAAUCUAUCACUUGCCCGAUAAUAAAUGUUGGAAAUGUAAAGAAAUUGAAGGUACAUUUUUUUCGCCUUUGGUGGACGUGCCCAAAGAUUAAGGCUUUCUGGGAAAUGAUAUAUAAUGAAUUAAAAGGUAUUCAAAUAUACCUUCCCCAAGAAACCAGAGGCCUUUCUCUUGGGCAUGGUCGGCCAAAUGGUGAUAAAAAAGGAUAGAACUUUCUUUAUGUAUGCAACAACAGCAGCAAGAAUACUCAUUGCAAAGUAUUGGAAGACACAAGAACUUCCCACGCUGGAGGAAUGGCAGAUGAAACUGAUGGACUAUAUGGAACUGGCGGAAAUGACUGGUAGAAUCCGUGACCAGGGAGAAGAGUCGGUGGAGGAAGAUUGGAAGAAAUUCAAAGAUUAUUUACAGAAACACUGCAAAAUUAAAGAAUGCUAGAGUGAUGUUGGAUUGAAAAUAAGUGGUUUCCAGCUGUACAGGAUUUAAAGUUAUAGAUAGACUAAGAUUAAAGAUUAGGAUUAAAGAAGUUUAAGGAAAUGGAAAUUUGGUAUUUAAGAGGUAAAAUUUUAAUGCUAUAUUAUAUUAAGAUUAAAGAUGGGGAUUAAAAAAAGUGGGAAAGAAAUUGCUGGACAAACAAUUUGAACUGGAAUACAAAAGAGGGAGGUAUGAGGAGGUCCAGAAAAUAAGUAAAUUUAAAAAUGGAAAUGAAAAGGUGAUAUUGUUUUUAAAUGUUCUGUUUCUUUUCUUUUUCUUUUUUUCUUUUUUGUUUUCUGUGCUUGUUUCUUUUUUGGAUUAUGUAUUGUGUAUUGUGUAUUUGUGUAUUUCUUUUUUAUGUUUUUUCUGUUUAACUUUUUACUGAAACCUU